AUUUAUUAAUUAAUAAUUAUUAUUUUUUUUACUUUUUAAGUAGGUUCUGCAUAAAUAAUUAAACAAAAUGUUCACUAUCGUGUGCGGUAUACAAAUUACAAAUUUAAACAGUUCACCUUAAAUGUAAUUUUCAAAAAAUGAAUCUACAAAGAAUGAAAACCAUUGCAAAAACCAAGUUAAACCUAAUAUGCCAUUUACAAGUUACAACAAUCACAUUCAAACCUUCAUAACUCAAAUCAUUCAGCAAGAUACAGUAACUGGUGUAUGCGUGUACCUAAGCCAUUAAAGAGAUUAUUCUGUUAAAAACCGUUUCCACUAACAGUUCCACAGUGCGGUUUACAAGUAAUGAAUCAAAUGGGCAUCUAGCUUCAACUUCGAGGUUCAUCCUUGAAAAAAUGAAGCAUUCCCAAUGGUCUAUGUCCUUUUGGGAAGUGCGACGGAAGAAACAUACUCUGCGUUAUUCACUGUCAUACGCAAUAUUCUACCACUGGAUUAUGACAGAAUCCGUUUUGUAACUGAUUAUGAGCGUGCUCUUAUGAAUGCUGUCCAGCGAAUAUUUCCAAACAGUGAAUUACUCUGCUGCUGGUUCCAUUUUUCAUAGUCAGUUGUUCGAUAUUGUCACCGAAAAGUUAAUGGUGUCUUGAAUUUGGUGAGGAGGCAUGAAGCAGCAGCUCGUAUUUUCAGAAUGGUAAUUUUGAGCUUUGUUUAAGAGCAAACAU